rnacentral:rRNA from 1 species
CAGCCGCCGCGGUAAUACGUAGGGUGCAAGCGUUAAUCGGAUUUACUGGGCGUAAAGCGUGCGUAGGCGGCUUUUUAAGUCGGAUGUGAAAUCCCUGAGCUUAACUUAGGAAUUGCAUUCGAUACUGGGAAGCUAGAGUAUGGGAGAGGAUGGUAGAAUUCCAGGUGUAGCGGUGAAAUGCGUAGAGAUCUGGAGGAAUACCGAUGGCGAAGGCAGCCAUCUGGCCUAAUACUGACGCUGAGGUACGAAAGCAUGGGGAGCAAACAGGAUUAGAUACCCCCGUAGUCCCUGUCUCUUAUAA